UACGUAGGGUGCGAGCGUUGUCCGGAAUUACUGGGCGUAAAGAGCUCGUAGGUGGUUUGUCGCGUUGUUCGUGAAAACCGGGGGCUUAACCCUCGGCGUGCGGGCGAUACGGGCAGACUUGAGUACUGCAGGGGAGACUGGAAUUCCUGGUGUAGCGGUGAAAUGCGUAGAUAUCUGGAGGAACACCGGUGGCGAAGGCGGCAUCCUGGACCAAUUCUGACGCUGAGGAGCGAAAGCCAGGGGAGCAAACGGG
rnacentral:rRNA from 1 species